UACGAAGGGGACUAGCGUUGUUCGGAUUUACUGGGCGUAAAGCGCGCGUAGGCGGAUAUUUAAGUCAGGGGUGAAAUCCCAGGGCUCAACCCUGGAACUGCCUUUGAUACUGGAUGUCUGGAGAUCGGGAGAGGUUGGUGGAAUUCCGAGUGUAGAGGUGAAAUUCGUAGAUAUUCGGAGGAACACCAGAAGCGAAGGCGGCCAACUGGCCCGAUACUGACGCUGAGGCGCGAAAGCGUGGGAGCAAACAGG
rnacentral:rRNA from 1 species